ACAGCAAGUUGUAGAAUGGCCACUAAUUCUGACAGCUGCUCCAUGCUCGUGGUUUCUUAGGCAUUCACACCCAAUCCUAAUGAACUGUGUCUGUGGCCUGACAGGAGUGUUCUCACAUGUCACUGGCACCUUGGGUGGGGGCAGCUGGCGAGGGCACGGAGGAGGACUUCGGGUCUCAGUACUCCUACACGAGCACUUUCUUGAUCUGAAGUUCAGUGUCCCCUUAUAAGAACAAGGAUAAAGAUAUUGCUCUUACACAGAAUAGAGACACACAGUAGGUCCUGGAAAAAGUCACGCCUCCCUAAGUUAAUAAAAGGGCCUUUGGCUGUCUCCCUCUGUUUCCUAUGUAAAUCUUUGAUCCCUGACUCCUCAUUCCUCACUACGUCAUCACUGCAAGGAGCUGGAUUGUUGCUAGAUACCCGUUGAAGGCAGGACAGCCCCUGUCUGUCCCAGAGGAUCUAUGGGAGUGGCAUUCAGUACCUGCUUGAUCAAUAUCUCGGGAGGCACAAGAGAGAUUCUUUUUACAUAUUGUAGAUAUAGCUACCAGAAAAUUUUAAUAUAGAUGCCUAAAUAAUUAGGGGCAGAAGAGGAAAUUCUACUGAAAUUACAAGCAACUUUAGGAAUGAAGGAAAAUAUCAUCAUAGCACUGAGAAAAUUGGAUAUAUGUAAAAUGAUACUCAGAGGAUAGGUCAUGGCUUUUAAAAUCCUAAUGAGAAAGAUGGUUUUAAAGUGGCGUAUCCUUAUAACCAAGAAGCUAUAGCACAAAUACUAAAGUGACCACCCCUCAAAAGUGGAACAAAGGAUUAGCAGAUUUUAAUAUAUUUUAAUAAGGUACCAUCUAUGAGAUAGGAAGAAAUUCACAAAACAGCAUUUGAAAUUAAGAUAUAUAUAUGGAAAAACAUCCUGUCUGAAGGCUUAAAAUAUAAACACAUACCAUGUUCAAUUUCAUUACCAUACAUUUGCUGAUUGAUAUUUUAAAAUGGAUGAUUUUUGUAGGUAAACAUGAAUUCUAGCAUCUACUGAAAGGAGAUAAUUAUAGAAAUGUUUAAAAGUUAGUCAGUGUUAGUCAUAAGCUUGGAUCAUCAGGGAACAGAUAAUUUUGGAGUUGUAUCACUUCAUUUACAGCACAGCAUAAAACUGGUUGCUUCUCUCCUCAUCUGGGAGGAUGGUAUGAGCACAUGCUCAUACCACAGUAGACAAAACAUACCAUGAGGAGUGCAAACAAAUGAUCCGUCACAGUUAUAAAACCCUAAGCGAGGCAUUAGCAAUGUAGAUCCAUUUAUAUAUUAAAAGACUAAUGCGUCUUAACUAGGUAGGGUUUAUCUUUGAAAUGACCACAUGUUUCAACAUUAGGAAACCUGUCAGCCUGAUUCAUUUGAUCAAGAACUAGGGGAAAAACUCAAUUCUGAUAGAUUUAGAAAAAUAUGACACAUAAUCUAACAAAGAUCCACUGACGAUGAAAAAGAAACAACCAAACAGAAGUCUAUCCAAACCCAGCUCCUUGUGAAUGAAAGAAGGAAACUCUACACAAACUCCAAACUCUCUGGUUUAAAAUCAGAAGGAAAAAAAAAGACAGUGGCAACUCAACCUUUCAAUGAUGAGAAGAAAUAACGAAAAGAAAGAAAACACAGUUCUUGAAAGGGGGAGGUAGAAAUUGCUCUUACUUGUAGAAAUUAUAGCUUUCUUGUUUUUUAGAAAACCCAUGCAAAUCAACUGUAACAUUAUUUGAACUAAUGAGAAUUCAGCAAAUUGUACAGAUUCCAUUCUUCAUUAAUAAGCAAUUGUGAACAUUCUAUGAGGUUAAAACAGAUAGCAUUUACUGAUUGGGAUGUCCUUCUGUAUAUAUGUUUCUCUUAUUGGUUGAUGAAUAAAACACCGAUUGGUCAGUAGCCAGGCAGGAAGCAUAGGCAGGAUGCUGGGGAGAAGAGGCAGAGAGAAGCUGCCAAGGAGACGCUAUACUACUGAAGGAGUAACACGCUGGAUUAUGGCUAAGCCACAGCCUCAUGGCAAUACAUAGUUUAAUAGAAAUGGGUUAAUAAUUAAGAGAGAGCUAGCUAGUAAGAAGCCUGAGCCAUUGGCCAAACAGUUUAUAAUAAAUAUGUCUCAAUGUGCUUAUUUGGGGCUAAUCAGCUUCAGGUCAGGCAGGAAAGAAACUCUGUCUACAAUUUACUCAACUCUAAGCCACACAGGGCUAAGCUGAAUAAAAAUCUUUAUGAACAAUUGAUUCUGUUAUUAAUGGGGAGGGCCUAACUAGGUAAGAUGUGCCCCAUUUGCAACAUUUACCCAAUAACUCUCCAUCAAGAUCAUGAGUCAAAACCAUAUCUGUCAAAUUUUAAAAUAAAAGUUUUACUUACCUGUCAAAA